AAAAAGGGAAAAAAUUAAAACCCUAAGUUCAUUUAAAUUUUUGGUAACCGCAACUGCGGGCCAAAAAUUGUUUUAAUUUCCACCCUACUAAAAUUUAAUUUUUUAAAAUUUUUAAAAUAAAUUCUCCCCCCCGGAAUUAAUUUUUUUCAAAAAAAAUAAGAAUUUUCCCUAAAAAUUUUUUGUAAAAAAAAAUUAAAAAAAAAUUUUUUAACCCUAAGAAAAUUUU
rnacentral:rRNA from 1 species